GUUUCCAUGGUGUAAUAGUUAGCUCUCUGCACACUGAAUCCUGCAAUCUGAGUUCAAAUCUCAGUGGAACUU